UCUGUGGUCUCUGCAGUCAUAAUUAAUUAGUUUCUCCUUUUUAUUCUUAUAUAAGUAUACACACACACACACACACACACACACACACACUGUAGCCAGCACUAUCAUCGGUUAAUGUGCAUAUCUCUGCCACAGAGUUGCAAAACCCUCAUACUCAAGAGUUUUGAGUUCCUGUGUCCUGUAUUUAUUACAGUUUCUAGGACAUGGUAAGUAUCCAGUCAUGUUUUUAAAAGAAGUGUGGAUAUUAAGAAAACAAAAAGUAUGGAUAUUAAGCUGUAUUCACAUAGCUUAAGAAAACUUUAAUAAACAUUGUAAUUGGCUGACUUUGCCCUCCUCCAAAUACAUAGGUUGAACCUCCAUCCCCUAAUGUGAUGGUAUUUGGAGGUUGGGCCAUUGGGGGGUAAUUAGGAUUAUAUGAGGUCAUGAGACUGAGCCUCUCACGGGGGGUUAGUAUCUUAUAAGAAGAGGAAGACAGUGAGAUCUCUCUCUCCCCCUGUGCGUGUACCAAGGAAGGACCACGUGAGCACACAUUGAGAAGGACGUUGUCUACAAGUGGGACCUCACUGAGAACUGAAUUUGCAGGCAACCUUGAUCUCAGACCUUCCAGCUUCCAGAACUGUGAGAAAUAAGUAUAGUUUAAGCUGCUCAGUCUUUAGCAUUUUGUUAUAACAGGCCGAGCAGACUAAGACAUACCUAUUAUUUUAUGUUUUCAUAUUAUGUAGAGAUAUAUUACAUUUUGGAGAGAAGCUAGUCUGUUAUGGGAUUGGAAUCUUUGGAUAGAGCAUAUCACUCUUGAACUUAGACGUUUAUUAGAAAUACAAAAGUGAGUAUAGACAAAAUAUGGGAAAAAUUUGGUGAUCAACAGGUCUAGGCAGGCUGGAGGGAGAUAUAAGAAGUCUAGUUUAUAAUAUAGUGGGUAGUAAGUAAAUAUUGGUAAAUCACAUCUCACAAUGAAUGGAAGCAUUGGUUAUUAAAUAAAAACCUAGUAGGCUGUCCUUCACUGGAUUUUAAUGUUGAUGUGAGAUGUCAUCCUUUUUAAAAAGCGUUUUUCCUCUGAGUUUCCCUUUCUCUUGGCCAGUGGAAGAAUGUAGGUUUAGUCCCAUCAGGUGUGACCACACAACUUUACAUUAGUUCUAUGGUUGUUCCAUACAUGCAAUUCUGUUAAUAGGGUGUUCUGGGAAAUUGUCCAUUAAUUCUGAAUUCAGAGAAAGCUUUCAAGUUAUUAAUAAGAAGAUUAAACCUAAAGAUUAACAAAGGCGAAGUUCCAAAUACAAUUGAUUGUUAUUCUUUAAAUGGCAAAGAGAGGAAUAAAAGGGAUUUCAGGGCAGUUGGAUCCAUGUACAUGUAUUUGACCACAGACUUUGACCCAAACACUUCAUAUAUCAUUGCAUUUGAGCAAUUAACUAUUCACAUAUUCAUAUAUUCAUACAUUAUUCAGGUCAUUUAUUUUCAUUAAAAUAAUACAACACCUUCCAAUGAUUAAUAAUUAGGUGUUGCACAAAAGUAAAUUUUACUUUAUUAAAAAUCAUCAGAAUUACAGUAAUAGAUAUUUAAUCUACUCCUGCAUACAGUUAGUUGCAUAAAAAUUAUAUUUAUCGAUAAAUAAAAAUGCACACUGUCAGGAUUUGAGCCUUGCCUGUGUUUCAUGUCAUCGUGAAAUGAACAGAGCAACAGACUUUUUUUUUUUUCUCCAAACAAAGAAGUUGAAAUCUCUGUUGUAAUUCAAGCUAAGGCUAUAUUGGACCUAUUAUUCUGUCUCCAUGUUUGGAAAAAAAACCCAAUAAAAUAACACAGUUUCCUCAUAAUAGAUACUCUGAUGCCCUCCACAAGCAUCCUUUAUAACCCACCCCUUUAUUUUUUACACACCACUUCAUAAAUCAAUACUUUUAUUUAUCUCUUUUGUGUUUUUCCUUUCUUUCAUAAAAACCAUCCUAGUCUAUAACACUCCCCUCAAUUUCUGCCUUAAGAUGGGAUGUCUGUGUAUUGCUAUGAAAAACACAAUGAUAAUUUAGUAUUUAUUGCAGGAAUGACAUCUGAGGAAUAAAAUGCUUCCAACACUGCAUCCAAAUAAUCCCAUAUGAGGAUCGUUUUCAUGCUUAAUAAGUAGUUCUAUUCACUAUAUCUUGUUUUGUUUGUUUCAUGUUUUUCCUGGUGUGGUGGUCUUGUAAUAAUUUCUGGCUCUAAAGUAUGCUGUUGUUUGAUUUUAAUAAGACAUCAGCUUGCAGUAAAACGGAACAGAUGCGAUUUAAAGUGCUGAUCUAUCUUACACAUCCCCAUAAACUUCCAUUUCUAUUUCAUAGGAAUGAAUGGGAAUGAAAUCCAGUGCAAUUGUAAGUAGAAUAAUCUAAGUUUUUAUACCCCAACACUACCACCUUCUUCCACAUCACAGCGAGCAUUUUCUUUGGUAAGAAAGCCUCUAGAAAAAAAAAAAAAAGAAAGAAAUCUCUUAUGGGCUGAUUUCUCUGGAUAAUUCUUUGAAAACCGCAUAUUUACCAUAACAGACUCAGCAGAUUCCACUGGCUGAGAGUCAAGAAAAGUAACGCUAGAUUUCUCUGCUUAGUAGACAUUAAUGUACCUUUUUGUUCAAUGAGCUACUUUAGCAUAUGGAAUAUAAACUUCCACUCUGUGAUUAUGUCUUGAGCUAGCUGAGUUAUAGGCACUUCAGGUAAGUACUUUUCGUUGGAGAGUAGAUUUUAAAUAACCCAGUUUACAGCACUUAAAAUAUUCUACUGACAUCCUGAGGGCUAUUCACCCAUAGAUUUUCAACUUAGGCAUAAUAGGGCACCAAUAAACGACCACACAAAUGCUCAAAUAUUGUGUUCCUUAAAAAAAAUCGCUUGGGUAUUUUUUAAAGGAAAAUAAGGUGUCUUAAAAUUUGUUACAGCAAAUACGGAAUUGGUUAACUAUGAAAUCCCGAACUGCCUCAACAGGAAGCAUAGCGUAUUGUGCGACGUUGGAAACGUCACAGUCAUUUGAAAAACUCUCAGAUUCAUCCAGGGUGCCUGGGUGGCUCAGUCGGUUAAGCAUCUGACUCUUGAUUUUGGCUCAAGUCAUGAUCUCACGGUUCAUGAGUUCGAGCCCCACAUCGAACUUCACACUGACGAUGCAGAGCCUGCUCGGGAUUCUCUCUCUCUGUCUGUCUUUCUCUCUGUAUCUCAAAAUGAAUAAGUCUUGGGUUAAUUUCAUAUGGUAACUUUUCUAGUUGUUAAAGGUGGAUUGCACCACCAUCACAGCAUGAGAGAAGAAAUGAGAGAAAAUUCAAGACCAUUGAGAGAGAAAAUGGCACCUCUACACAUAGAGAUAACUGUAGUAGAUAUUUUUCAGCAUUCAGGGAUGUCAUAUUUAUUCAAAACAUGUGUUUACCGAGUAUUUCUCAUGACUGAAAACUCACAUAGUUUCAAUUAUUCCUUUUGUCAAACUUAACAAGGUAGUGCCUCUCAAAAUACACCUUUUUUAAACAAGUAUAAAGGCUGGGUUAGUACCUAAAAACAAAUCUUUGAAAGGAUCGGAGAACAAGGCAGACAGAAUAGGAGAGGCCCACAUUCCGGAAACAAGAGAAAAUGACUUAUGAGUCCCCCAUUCAUCUCUGUUUUUCCUCAGGGUUUUGUCAAGUACAUGGAUGAAGAGUCAGAACAGAAAGGAAAACCUUGGAAUCUACUGAGGUCUCACCAUGCUGGGGAGACAGAAAUCGGUGUUGGGUCCCUCUAAGAAGAAUUUAACUUCUUGGAAGAAGGGGAAAGUAACUGCAGAGAUGUGAGUGGGAGAGUGCGUGAAGUUUGCCACCAGUGGUUUUGGCGUUUCCUGAACUGUGUUGGUGUCCAGGAAGAGACACCUACUGUCAGGCUAUGGUCUGAGAGCUGAAGACCAGAGCAAAUAUUUCAGCAGUCUUCUAGUCCUGGGGAAAGUGAAGCAGCGCCCAUGCUAUGAAGUCCAGUACCCUUCGUAUCAAUGUGCUCUAAAUUCUUGAAAAUGCAACUGUGGAUGACCAUGACUCAGCACUACAAAUGAAGUAAUUACUGAAGAAUGCCACGACAUGGAUGUCAAAAAACAUUAAACUGAGUGAAAGAAGCCAGGCCUAACAGGCUACCAAACUAAAAUGAAAACUGAAUGUUGCUCUGACGGUGACCUUCGUCUCUUCACACAGAGGAGUUGGUGAAAUCUUAGAUUUGAAGACUGACUGAGUUACCAUGGUUGGAAAUAAAUGUGGAGAGUACGGCAUAGUCGUGGAGACCUAUGGUUAUCUAUGUAAGGAAUCCAAAGGAGGACAGCGCAGCCGUGAGUGAAUACUCCGAAAAGGACGGAACAGAGCGUCCUGUGUGGUAAAUAGCAUGAGCAGGGGAGAGAAGCAAAAGGAGAGAAGGAGAAUCUUAAGCAGGCUCCAUGCUCCGUACAGAACUCCAUGCGGGGCUUGAUCCCACAACCUUUGGAUCAUGACCGAGCUGAAGUCAUGACGCUUAACUGACUGAGCGACCCAGGUACCCCUCUAGCAUUUCUUUUUAAUUAUUUCUUUUAAUGUCCUCUCUCUCCUUAGAUUUCCUAUUGGUUCUUGCAUGCUAUCAGCUAUAUCCAUUAGAUCUCUUAGGAUAUUCAUCAUAAUUGUUUUAAAUUUCUAGUAUGAUAAUUUUAACAUCUCUGCCUUAUUCGAGUCUGGCUCUGAUGCUCUUUCUGUUAGAACAGUGCAGUUUUUUUCCCCCUAUUAGUUUAUCUAAUAAUUGUUUUCUUGAGUACCAGACAUAAUGUAGUGGGUAAAAGGAGCUGCUGUAAUAGGCCUUUAGUAAUGUGGUGAUAUGUUAUACAGAGCAGGAAUGUUCCAAGGACCUAUGAUUAGUUUCAAUCUUUAAAUGAGCCUGUGCCUCUCUGCUGUGAA